UACGUAGGUGGCAAGCGUUAUCCGGAAUUAUUGGGCGUAAAGCGCGCGCAGGCGGUUUCUUAAGUCUGAUGUGAAAGCCCACGGCUCAACCGUGGAGGGUCAUUGGAAACUGGGAAACUUGAGUGCAGAAGAGGAAAGUGGAAUUCCGCGUGUAGUGGUGAAAUGCGUAGAGAUGCGGAGGAACACCAGUGGCGAAAGCGGCUUUCUGGUCCUUAACUGACGCUGAGGCGCGAAAGCAUGGGGAGCGAACGGG
rnacentral:rRNA from 1 species